rnacentral:rRNA from 1 species
UACGUAGGUGGCAAGCGUUGUCCGGACUUACUGGGUGUAAAGGGCGUGUAGCCGGGUUGACAAGUCAGAUGUGAAAUCCUGCGGCUUAACCGCAGAACUGCAUUUGAAACUGUUGAUCUUGAGUACUGGAGAGGCAGACGGAAUUCCUAGUGUAGCGGUGAAAUGCGUAGAUAUUAGGAGGAACACCAGUGGCGAAGGCGGUCUGCUGGACAGCAACUGACGGUGAGGCGCGAAAGCGUGGGGAGCAAACAGG